rnacentral:tRNA from 1 species
UAUAUUUAAGUGUGUGAUGCACUAAAGAUUUUGAUUCUUUAAGAAAUAGUUUGAUUCUAUUAAAUAUAA